rnacentral:rRNA from 1 species
UACGUAGGGGACAAGCGUUGUCCGGAAUCAUUGGGCGUAAAGAGCGUGUAGGCGGCCCGAUAAGUCCGCUGUGAAAGUCCAGGGCUCAACCCUGGAAUGCCGGUGGAUACUGUCGGGCUCGAAUCCGGAAGAGGUGAGUGGAAUUCCUGGUGUAGCGGUGAAAUGCGCAGAUAUCAGGAGGAACACCAAUGGCGAAGGCAGCUCACUGGGACGGUAUUGACGCUGAGACGCGAAAGCGUGGGGAGCAAACAGG